rfam:Triticum aestivum genome assembly, contig: Triticum_aestivum_CS42_TGACv1_scaffold_320271_4BL
CGUCUACUUCCUCCGUUCGAAAUUAUUCAUCGUAGAAAUGGAUGUAUCUAGAUGUAUUUUAGUUCUAGAUACAUCCAUUUCCGAGACAAGUAAUUCCGAACGGAGGGAGUACAUG